rnacentral:rRNA from 1 species
GACGAACGCUGGCGGCGUGCCUAAUACAUGCAAGUUGAGCGCUGAAGGUUGGUACUUGUACCAACUGGAUGAGCAGCGAACGGGUGAGUAACGCGUGGGGAAUCUGCCUUUGAGCGGGGGACAACAUUUGGAAACGAAUGCUAAUACCGCAUAAAAACUUUAAACACAAGUUUCAAGUUUGAAAGAUGCAAUUGCAUCACUCAAAGAUGAUCCCGCGUUGUAUUAGCUAGUUGGUGAGGUAAAGGCUCACCAAGGCGAUGAUACAUAGCCGACCUGAGAGGGUGAUCGGCCACAUUGGGACUGAGACACGGCCCAAACUCCUACGGGAGGCAGCAGUAGGGAAUCUUCGGCAAUGGACGAAAGUCUGACCGAGCAACGCCGCGUGAGUGAAGAAGGAUUUCGGAUAGUAAAACUCUGUUGGUAGAGAAGAACGUUGGUGAGAGUGGAAAGCUCAUCAAGUGACGGUAACUACACAGAAAGGGACGGCUAACUACGUG